GGGCCCGCACAAGCGGUGGAGCAUGUGGUUUAAUUCGAUGAUACGCGAGGAACCUUACCAGGGCUUAAAUGUAGUGGGACAGGUCUAGAGAUAGACCCUUCUUCGGACUCAUUACAAGGUGCUGCAUGGUUGUCGUCAGCUCGUGCCGUGAGGUGUCAGGUUAAGUCCUAUAACGAGCGCAACCCCUAUCGUUAGUUGCCAGCGGGUAAUGCCGGGAACUCUAACGAAACUGCCAGUGCAAACUGUGAGGAAGGUGGGGAUGACGUCAAAUCAUCACGGCCCUUACGUCCUGGGCUACACACGUGCUACAAUGGCCGGUACAGAGAGCAGCCACUGCGCGAGCAGGAGCGAAUCUAUAAAACCGGUCUCAGUUCGGAUCGGAGUCUGCAACUCGACUCCGUG
rnacentral:rRNA from 1 species